AAUUGUCGCUUCCUUCCCCUUAAGCAGAAAUUGGGGCGGCUUAAGCGUCACUUCAAUGAUAUGGGGGAGCUCAUGGCCGCUCUCGUCAAGUAUGCCGACUCUGAUAGCACUAAAGAUCCCGAGUCUGAUGAUGAGAAGAAUGGGAAGGGGAAGAAGGGUGGCAAUGCAAAGGGACAACAUAACACGGCAGGUCAAGGUGGUACUGGUAAGCAUAAGGCGGAUGGCGGUUUAGAUUUUGUGGCUAACACCAGCACGCAGAAUAAUAACCAGCGUCGUAGGGGGAAAGCUCAAGCACCCUGGUUUGGAGGGCCAAAGUUCAACCUUGAAGCUAUGAUGACUCAGCCUUGUCCAAAACAUGGGACCCAGGAUAAGCCGGCCGGCCAUCCGUGGAAGGAUUGCUUCAUCAUGAGGGAGUACAGGAAUUCUAACUUUUUUCAGAGCAAUCAUGGCCCAAACGGCGGUUCAGGUUCCGAUUCUCAGGGACCUGGCUUUGGAGGUGGCGGCAUAAGCUCUGGUUUUCAAGGCCAAGGUAAUCAUGGUGGUUUUAAUCAACAAUCUGGCCAAGGGAAUCAGCAUGAGCAGUUUGGUUAUCAGAAUAAUCCAAAGCAGCUGAAUGAUAGUCAGUAUCAUGUGUUCACCACAAGCUUUCGCAAGCGAGAUCAGAAAAUCCAUAAGCGGGCAGUGAAUUAUGUUGAGCUGGCAGUGCCUCAUUAUUUAAGGUGGUCUGAGCAGCCUAUUGUAUGGAGCCGUGAGGAUCACCCGCCCUGGUUGACAAUCCAGGUCAGUUGGCAUUGGUGGUUGCCCCAUAGGUAG
rnacentral:rRNA from 1 species